GGGGGGUGAGACCAUCCCUGUCUCAUCUCUACCUAUAAAUUCACCUCUGUAGAACUUUCUUUCCAAUGAAUCUCUAUUUUUCUCUUUCACACGAUGCCGGGGACAUGAGCAAUGGAUGAUUUUGGCUUCCUCUGAAUAACUCCUGAGAGGGCAUGUGUAGUUCCUCUGUGGGAGGACAUUGUCACCUGUGUCAACAGCUUUGAGGCUUUAGCUACACUUGUGGGAGUUCCCUCGAGUGACAGCCAUGGUGUUUAGAAGGGGAAACCUCAUCUUCAGAUCCAGAGGAGGGCUCUGGUUGCUCUAAACCACUUGGAAUAAUCCCAUUUCCCAGUCAUAGUGAUUGACGCAGAUGUUAUAAACUCCAUGGAAGUUUCCUAAUAGUGUCCCAUAACUGACCAUUGUCUUGAUACACACUGGGUUCAUAAGAAAGAUAUGGCAUGUGGAAGACACUGUGCAUGAGGUGAAUGAGGAGUUCUUCCAGCUCUCUUCUCCAGCCCUGGAGCUCCAGAAAGAGGAGGAUGAGCCAGACCCACUGCCCCCAGGUGAAUGCUGCACAUUUGUGCGUUUGCUCUAAGCUGAGGGGUCAGUUCCUCUGUGAACCCGCCCUCCGUCCACCUCAGACGGGCAGCCGUGAAGGUAGCUCGACAGCAGAGGGACUAGGUAGGUGCAGCAGCCUGUCCUCAGCUGCACUGAGGGGCCAGAAGAGCAUGACUCGGUGAGGGUAAAGUAACAGGUGUCUCCCAGCAUCUCCCCUUGUGAGUGGCAGGAAGAUAAACUUCACCCACUGGAGACAAGUGGCCCAGACGGAGAGAAGCUGGGACCCUGGGCCCUGAAGAGCCACCGGGCCCUGGAGCUGGAGGUGAGGAGAGUCCACCUGGCUCAGAGGAUUGAAGACCUGGAGUGGAAGCUGUCCUUGCUCCUUCAGGUGGCCACCAGCAGUUUGAGCAUGGGAGGGAGCUGGCUCAGCUGACAUAGCAGCCUAAGGGGCACUGAGUCACAUCAGAUGCUGCAUGGUGACCACCUCCGGGAGGUGCCUUCUCACCGAGAACAUGAACGGGCUCCCCUGGUAGGAAGGAGUGGGCAUCUGGGGCCCGGAGUGUGUGCUGGUUUCAUGACGUGCUCCUACAGGGAAACACCUGGAUUUCUUUCAGAGCCUGGACCUCAGCUUGUGCUCAAUUCUGCCUUGAACUUUCUGGGGUGAGGGGAAAUAAACUGACAUGGGUUGACAAAA